CCUACGGGGGGCAGCAGUGGGGGAUAUUGCACAAUGGGGGAAACCCUGAUGCAGCGACGCCGCGUGUGGGAAGACGGUCUUCUGGAUUGUAAACCACUGUCCCCAGGGACGAAAAUGACGGUACCUGGGGAGGAAGCUCCGGCUAACUACGUGCCAGCAGCCGCGGUAAUACGUAGGGAGCAAGCGUUGUCCGGAAUUACUGGGUGUAAAGGGAGCGUAGGCGGGGAUGCAAGUUGGGUGUCAAAACUACCGGCUCAACCGAUAGUCGCACUCAAAACUGCAGCUCUUGAGUGAAGUAGAGGCAGGCGGAAUUCCUAGUGUAGCGGUGAAAUGCGUAGAUAUUAGGAGGAACACCAGUGGCGAAGGCGGCCUGCUGGGCUUUUACUGACGCUGAGGCUCGAAAGUGUGGGGAGCAAACAGGAUUAGAUACCC
rnacentral:rRNA from 1 species